rnacentral:misc_RNA from 1 species
GUCUGGCUGAGUAGUGAUUUAAAUACAUAUUCCGAGUUUACGAUUAAAGAUGCAGUUUGCUAGUCUAUACAUGUAACAUUAUUUUUACAAAUUCGAAGCACAUAAGUAGUUUAACAGAAGGAUAUUUCUCUCCUUUUUCAUUGUAUAUAGGCACAGCUCGAAUUCCUGUUCUGAGUUCUGAAACAGGAAUGCAAGUUUGUCCACCAAAAUCAUCGAUCUCUGACAUAUCAUAUUCAUGAACUUCUACGCGAAGCAAUGCUAGCUCUGGAACUGUCAAUGGGAACUCAAAUUCAUCAUUCCAUGUUGGUAUCCAGUUGUCCUCUAUUGCCUUGGUUUUCUUAACUCUUGAAUCUGCAGGGACUCCAGCAAUACCAAUCUUGACGUAGAAGUCUGGUGGAGAAUAUGCAUCAAAAUGUGUACGUUUAAAGUCCAAAUGCCAACCUUUUCCCAUGUAUACUUUCACCUUCAGUGUAGUUUUCACUGAUAAAAGCCUUUUAGGAUCAUGGACCUCAUUAUUUGCAUCAGUCUUUAGGAGAAGCUCCGGUUUCUUGACAUAACCACAGCCGCCAUUUGCUCUGAACAUCCCUUGCAUUAACCACAAAGGCCUUCCAUGUCCCUGUAUAUUGAAUGCAACCAUCUGAGUUCCAUGCAUCCAUCCUAUAAGUGGAUUGUAAUUGGAAGAGUCGACUCGCAUACCUUUUGGAUAUACUCUCAGCAAAUUUCUCUGAGUAAACCUGACUAAGUCUUGCCCAUGAUUGAGGGCAACAUUAAUGAGCUUUUCUUCAUUUAAACUUACACGUUUCACCUUAAUAGGAUCCACGGUUAGCCACUCACUUGUUGGACCUUUAGAUUUUCCUGCUUGGAUAGCAAUCAAGUGUUUAUACUCAGGAGCUAUAUUCUGCUGUAUAUUGGGGUUCUCAUGAUGAGAAUCAGCUUCAUCGUCUUGACAUUCUCCAUUGUCUUUAUUCUCAGAAAAAGCCAUCAUUUUUUGUGAAAGAUCAGAAAUUUCUGCUCCCCAUGCUUUCUCCUCUGAUGAUUUCUUCCCCUUCUGAGAACCAUUUUCUUUCUCACUUGUCUUCUUACUUUCAAGAUACUCUUUUGGCGGUUUAGUUGAGAUGAUAAUACGCCCCUUCAAAGAUUCUGGAGACGGGAAUUCAGACAAGCAUUCUGUCCCACAGGUGAACAGUAUAUCUCCAAAUACUUGAGUGACCAUCUCAGCUGCUUUAGCCUGAAGAUCAGGGGUGAGGUGGUCUUCUAGUGUUAUAAUUACAGGAUACUCAGACGCCACAAAUGCAUGUUCCUUUAUUGAUUUCAAACAUUGGAUAAGUUCCACCGGAGGUGUUAGUGUCCCUCCGUGAAGGAUAUCCACAUUGUCUUUCGAUGAAUUUGGCCACAUGUCUAAUUCAAUCACUCGUACGCCUUGUUGGAGUGCCUUGAUUAUAGGCACGUCGCUGCAAUCACUAUUGAGUUGAUUCCCAGUGAGAUAGGUAUUGUGACUGGUGUAAAUGAAAUAGUGAGACAAUGGAGCAGUCAUGUCAUGGUGAACCUUUUUGUGUGUGGAGAUAGAAACAUUGAGAUCACUGAAGAGAUAUCGAAAAAAUCCGUCAAGAUUGAGACCUUUUUUAUGGAAAACAAUGUUAAGAUGUUCAUGAACAAGUUUGAGUGCAGAUUCCAUCACAGUUUCAGCUUCUUCUUUUGUAACAUUUUCUUCACCUUGCACAUCUUUCAAGAAUUUGCAUAAAUGUUCUGAUGUCAUGAUGCCAUUUUCUGAAAAUCUUCCAAACAAUUCUUUGAUCUCAUCAGGUGCUUCAGCUUCUUUCAACUUGAAUUUCCUUUGGAAACAACAGAUUCUGUAUGUUUGUUUAGACAUUUUCUGUCAAAUUUUGGUUACAAAGUGAAUGAGAGAAGUGGAAGACAAAUGGAGAGGCCCCUCCCUUUAUCAAGU